UUGCCACUAGGCUAUAUCCCCAGCCCCAAGUCUCUCCAUUUUUGUCUUGACCUUAACCUUUAGCAGCUACUCCAAAUGAGGAAUGCUGUAAGACUCAUCUACCAGAUUACAGCAAACUUUGAUUACCCUGUAUAUCCUGAUAUUACUGCUAGGAGAUCUUGUUUCCCUCUCAUGAGAUGGAACUUCAGAAGCAUGUUUGAACUCCAGUCUGGUGUUCUGGUGCAAAGAGCUAUUAAGCCAAACUGAAUCUAUGCAGGUAAAGGGUGCACUGUUACUUCAGCGAGAACUUUUCUAGCUGUUCUAAUACAGAGUUCCUUCUUAAGAGGGCUAUUGCUGUUGACACCAAAUGGAAUGACUUCUCAGCCUUGUGAUGUCUUAAGUGAAUGCCUAAUUUGGAAUAGAGAAAGUAUUUUAAGAAAGAAAACUAUCCUUUUUAGCAAACUCCUUCCUGGUUUUAACAAUGAACAGAGCUCCAGAUAGCACAUAGCUUGUCAGGUUGCAUCUGUGUAAUAUUUGUCUAUGUUAUUAUUAGUGGUGUUGAGUGCAUGAGAACACUCGAAAAUGAGAACCCUUGGAAAGAAAACUGCCUUAGCUGUGAUUCCAGAGAGAUACCAUUAGGUAGACCUGUUUAUCUUGAGGUGCAGUUUUCAGAUAGGAUAUAAACACAGAAGUCCAUUGGAAACAGUUUAAUUUCUUACAUAGAAGGUUUGUACAUAAUGUGCAUCAAUGAAUAUUUUCAGAAUUGUUUUCCCCAAGGCACCUUUGUUUUUCUAAAAUAGGUAUGGUGUAUAUAAGUAUGCACACACAUAUAUAUUUUUAGUGUAAUGUUAGUUAAGUUUGAUUAUAAAAGUGGUGUCAAGUCUUUUAUUUCUCUAUUUAGCAAUGAUAACUGUUUGAAUUGAUUUUUGUUUUGCAUCUUUAUGCAUUAAGAUUAGGAAAAUUAUUUGUCUCUGAGCACUCAACUUGUUUUUAUUGUUGCUGUCUCUAAUACUUCAGUCCCCAAAUCCAGAUUAUGGGGGAGGUUAGAAAUGAACUGUGAUCUUUGUGUUUUCAAUUACUGUCAGAGUUACAUGCAUAGUUAAACUUUUUUUUAAGGACAUUGUAUUGUGUUGCAAAAAUAUGAAUAUUUAUAUUUCUUGAUGUUUUUUGUUUAUAUGCUUUGCAUUUUCAUAUGUUGAACCACUGGAAAUCUGUAACAGAGUAAUUUGUGAUAGGAGUCUGAGUGUGUUGUUAACCGUCUUGUCUUCACUUUGUCCAGUGCCUAUUAUGGAAACAAUAAAAUCUAUUGUGUCAGUUGCUUU